rnacentral:antisense_RNA from 1 species
GGCCACAUCUGCCAGAGCCUGGAGUCUGCGAAGGCCGGGACCCGGUUCCCCGGCCCACCGUGGGGGGGGGUGUGCAAACCCGAGAGAACUGGGUUGCAAAUUCGUGAAGAAUCAGCAUCAUGUUUGGCAGCUGAGUAUUGGAGCCAGGAGCCUGCCAUGAGGUUUUGAGAACAGAGUGCUGUUUUAGAGCUGGCAGCAGCAUCUCAGCCCAAGAGAAGGUAAGCCUUGAGCUGGCCAAUGAUCCCCCCAACCCCAUAGUGGAAUGAAUAAACAGCUGAUCUUGUUAAAACUCGCUUCAAAAAAAAAAGAUAUCAAAUGAUGAAAUCACCCAAAAUAGCUGGAAUUACCGGCAGAUUGUGUAGUGGUGAACCUACGGUUUUCUGAAGAUAUCUCUUACCCUGUGAUUGACUGUCAGUUGGUGCAGAAAGUGAGAUUGAAAUGUAGUUUCUUUGCAGGUUAUAUUCCCAGAGGAUGUCAGUCCCAAGGACCAGUAGCUGCCAUCAGUUUGGAUUCUGAAAACUAACCGGCAUCAACACUGGGUGUAGAAACAUGCUUGCCUUAUGUAUCAGAGGACAUGCUCAGCAGAUCCAAGAGAUAUAUUUGGCAACUUUUUCUAGAAAAGGCACAUUGGGUAUCAUUCAUUACAUUCUUGAGUUUUUUUGGUUUUUUUUUUUUUUUUUUUUUGAGACAGUCUUGCUGUAUUGCCCAGGCUGGAGUGUGGUGGCACAAUCACAGCUCAUUGCAUCCUCAAUCACCCAGGCCUAAGCAAUCCUCCCACCUUGUAGCUGGGACUAUAGCUCACAGCACACCUGGCUAAAAUUUUUUUUUUGUUAAGACGGAUUCUCUAUGUUGCCCAGGCUGGUCUCAGGC